rnacentral:rRNA from 1 species
AUGCAUCGAGCGGGGGAGCAAUCCCUAGCGGCGAACGGUCGCGUAACACGUAAGCAACCUGCCAAAGACCGGGACAACAGCUCGAAAGGGCUGCUAAUACCGGAUGUGUCCUCCUGCCGACCAGCGGGAGAGUAAAUCGAGCAAUCGGCUUUCGGAGGGGCUUGCGGCCUAUCAGCUAGGGUGAGGUAACGGCUUACCAUGGCUACGACGGGUAGCUGGUCUGAGAGGAUGGUCAGCGACUGGGACUGAGAUACGGCCCAGACUCCUACGGGGGGCAGCAAUUAGGAAUCUUGCGAUGGGCGAAAGCCUGACGCAGCGACGCCGCGUGAGGGAUGAAGGCCUUCGGGUUGUAACUCUUUUAGGUGGGAUGAACACAAUGACAGUACCACCUGAAUAAGCCCCGGCUAACUCUGCCAGCAGCCGCGGUAAUACGGAGGGGGCGAGCGUUGUCCGAAGUUACUGGGCGUAACGCGUGUAGGCGGGUUGCCAAGUCUGUCGUGAAAGCCCGGUGCUUAACGCCGGAGGGUGUGGAUACUGGCAAUCUUGAAGUGGCUAGGGGGAGAUGGAAUUACCGGUGUAGCGGUGAUGCGUAGAUAUCGGUAGGAACACCAGUGGCGAAGGCGGUCUCCUGGAGCUUGCUUGACUGAGACGCGAAAGCUGGGGGAGCGAACGGGAUUAGAUACCCCGGUAGUCCCAGCCCUACGAUGGAUACUAGGUGUCAGGGGUAUCGACCCCCCUGGUGCCGCAGCUAACGCAUUA